GAUGAAGAACGCAGCGAAAUGCGAUAAGUAAUGUGAAUUGCAGAAUUCAGUGAAUCAUCGAAUCUUUGAACCCACAUUGCGCCCGCCAGUAUUCUGGCGGGCAUGCCUGUUCGAGCGUCAUUUCAACCCUCAAGCCCAGCUUGGUGUUGGGGAUCGGCACAGGCGCCCUCGGGCGCCCGCCGUCCCCUAAAUCUAGUGGCGGUCCCGCUGCAGCCUCCUCUGCGUAGUAGUUUUCUCCUCGCAAGGGCAGCUCGGUGGCGACCUCGCCGUAAAACCCCCAACUUCUGAAAGGUUGACCUCGAAUCAGGUAGGAAUACCCGCUGAACUUAAGCAUAUCAAUAAGCGGAGGA
rnacentral:misc_RNA from 1 species